rnacentral:rRNA from 1 species
UACGGAGGGUGCGAGCGUUGUCCGGAAUCACUGGGCGUAAAGGGCGCGUAGGCGGCCCGGCAAGUCAGUGGUGAAAGCCCGAGGCUCAACUUCGGGUCGGCCACUGAUACUGCUAGGCUUGAGUCGACUAGAGGCAGAUGGAAUUCCGGGUGUAGCGGUGGAAUGCGUAGAGAUCCGGAAGAACACCGGUGGCGAAGGCGGUCUGCUGGGGUCGAACUGACGCUGAGGAGCGAAAGUGUGGGGAGCGAACAGG